AUAUUGCUUCCAUCCUUUCAGCUACUUGGUCAAUUGACUGCCAUUAUUGCAAAAUUAUUGAUUGCAACAAUCUUUUAAUAUGGAAUUUUUUUGAAUGUGGAUUGUUGUAAGAUGAGGGCCUCUAUAUUAAAACAAUUAUUGAUAAAUCAGUGCAGAUUAGUUCAACUCAGUUAUAAACUUACUAUAUAGUACAGUGAAUGGUGCAUUCAUUUCUGGAUUUUAUUUGAUUUAUGCAGAAAACUGAAUGUAUUGUAGUAUGUGGGUCUCCAAUCAUUUUUUGGCUGGAAUUUAACAGUUACUAUUUUGAUACAUAUCUUUCUUUAAAUUAUAACAGAUUUUUUAUGCAGCACUUUAAUCCCCAAUAUAUUUAUGAUAAUGAUAUGAUACAAUUGCAUGUUGAAUAUUUGUUGUUUUGUUUACAGCUGUUUUUUAUUAAGUAAGUAUAUAAUAAUCAUUGACUAAAUGAGAACUAUGUUUGGAAAAAAGAAAUGCAAAUGAGUCAUUCCAGAAUUUAAAUUUUAACAUUGUCUAAGACUGAAAUAAAUGUUAGGGCAGUGAACAUUGUCAGGAAAUUCAUAUAUGUGAGAAGAUAUUCUUCAGUUCAAUCUUACUAAUAAUCUGUACAGAGCCACUGGUUCAAUUGUUCGUUUUUACUAGUUUUUUGAAAUUGAAAGGUAUGACCUGUCAUAAGAAACUACUGUGGCAGAGGUGAUAAGAAUGCAGUUGAGAAAGCAAAUGUGUACCAUAUUUAACAGGAACAUGCUAGAAAUUGUCAGAAAGAUCUAUGCAAUAGUUAGACUAAUUUUUAAAUCAGCUAUAAGAGGUCCUUGAUUAUAUUUUUUAAU
rnacentral:lncRNA from 1 species